AAUGGCAAUAAGAAAUGGUUCAAGUAUUGAUUUGAAUCGAGCAGCGUUUCGAUAUGAUUGCACCAUCGACUACAACAUUUGCCAACAUUGUGGCGCCACCAGAGUUCGCGUUUCUUGCUUUAUGGCGAAACACUAGAAUCACGACAUUUUCUAGCGAACACUCAAAAAUACAAUGCCUGUUUCCAAAUGACUUCAUGCUCUCAUGUUAAACAAUUCAUGUACAUUUUAUUAAUAUGUGAGCGUGAUUAAUAAAUAUACGUGUAGAGCAGACAACAAUGCCACGAAAACGCAAGGGGGGUAAUUGGAGUCGUCGAACACUCAAAUCUAGAGGCAUGUAGGAUAGAAGAGCACAAAGAUCAGAUGAAGAAAGGCAACAAAGCAAUGCAGAUGUCCGUGUAAGCAUGGCGCAGUUACGUGCAUCACAAUUGCAAGAGGCACUAGAUGAGCGAAACCAGCAAAGACAAUUAGAACGAAGAGAAGCGCGCAGAUUCGUAGUCACCAGACGAAGAGGAAUCGACCGACAACGUCAACUAGUACCUCGAGCAUUUACAUCACAUUCAUUUCUGCACUUAGCAUUGGUGGCCAGUGGUACAUUGGACAAAGAAUGCCGGCACUGCCAUGCCUUUAAAUUUAAAAAUGAGCCGAUCGGGAUGUGGUGCUCGUCAGGAAAAGUAAAACUCCCAGAAAUUGAAACACCGCCGGAACCAUUGCACGGCUUCCUUAUUGGAACUGAUCUUCGCUGUUCUUGCAGUCAAUGCGAAAAUUCAAUUCAUGUUUUCAAAUGACAUCGUUUGGAGCAACGGAAAAAGUUAAAAAUACUGCUGUAAAUAUGCAAAAAUGUAAUUCCACAUUUAAAAUCAAAGGCCAAGUUUACCAAACGAA